AGUGAACGCUGGCGGUAGGCCUAACACAUGCAAGUCGAACGGCAGCACCGUAAGAGCUUGCUCUUCCGGGUUGCGAGUCGCGGACGGGUGAGGAAUACAUCGGACUCUACUUUUUCGUGGGGGAUCACGUAGGGAAACUUACGCUAAUACAGCAUACGACCUACGGGUGAAAGCAGGGGAUCUUCGGACCUUGCGCGAUUGAAUGAGCCGAUGUCGGAUUAGCUAGUUGGCGGGGUAAAGGCCCACUAAGGCGACGAUCCGUAGCUGGUCUGAGAGGAUGGUCAGCCACACGGGAAGUGAGACACGGUCCAGACUCCUGAGGGAGGCAGCAGUCGGGAAUAUUGGACAAUGGGCGCAAGCCUGAUCCAGCCAUACCGCGUGGGUGAAGAAGGCCUUCGGGUUGUAAAGCCCUUUUGUUGGGAAAGAAAAGCAGCAGGUUAAUACCCCGCUGUUCUGACGGUACCCAAAGAAUAAGCACCGGCUAACUUCGUG
rnacentral:rRNA from 1 species